CAAUAGAGGCGCGGAGAGCAGGGUACUGUGUUUUUGGGGACAGGCCCCCGUCAGGGGCACAGGAAGGGGCUUUCCGCCGAAGGUCGCGUGCAGGUCUGAACGCACGGGGCCUGGCAGCGUGGUGUAAGCGGCGUUGCUGUCAUGUAGUGAUACAUGGAGCGCUAUUGGU
rnacentral:ncRNA from 1 species